rnacentral:misc_RNA from 1 species
GAUGAAGAACGUAGCGAAAUGCGAUACGUAAUGUGAAUUGCAGAAUUCAGUGAAUCAUCGAAUCUUUGAACGCACAUUGCGCCUGCCAGCACUCCGGCAGGCAUGCCUGUUCGAGCGUCAUUUCAACCAUCAAGCCCUAGGCUUGCGUUGGAGCCCUGCGGCUGCCGCAGGCCCCUAAAAGCAGUGGCGGGCUCGCUAUCACACCGAGUGCAGUAGAUUACUCUUCGCUCAGGGCGUGUGGCGGGUUCCAGCCGUGAAACCCCCUACUUCUCAAGGUUGACCUCGGAUCAGGUAGGAAUACCCGCUGAACUUAAGCAUAUCAAUAAGCGGAGGA